GCCAGUGUGGCAUAGUGGUUUGAGUGUUGGACUAUGAUUCUGGAGACUAGGGUUCAGUCCCCAGCUCAGUCA